AGAAAUCAGAUUUCUGGUCAGAAUCUGAUUUUCUACAACACUAGAGAAAGGCUGAAUUCUCAAUCUUCAAAAUCAAAAGAGGAAAAUGAUGUUCAAGCUAUCAUUCAUCAUCAGUCUGCUCCUCGUGUUUGUUCACAUUUUGGGAACAAUUUCAACAUCAACAACCUCAAGGUCUGAGGAAGUCUUCAGUACCAGCAUGAAUCUGAAUUCCAGGACGAGCCUAAAUCCCGGGACCAAGGCAAGUUCUACCUUCAAAUCUGACAGGCCAAGACUCACAACAGCAGUGAAUGCCAGGAUGACUCUGACUUCCACGAUGACCUCAAGUUACAAGACACCUCUGAAAUCAACAGUGACCUCAGUGACAGCCAGAAAUAUGACUACAAAGACUGUGACAAAUGGGAGCAUAAUACUCAAUCCAAAGCUUAACAUUCACUUUCUUUUCUAUGUAAUAUUUUUGCUGUUUUUUGUGUACUCAGGCUGAAAUAAACUUGAAUUGGCUGCA